GCAAUACUUUUAAAGUAAGUAUUUAAAAUGAGUAUUAUAAUUACUGUCCAAUUUAAUAUUGCCUAGUAUAACAUUUUUAUAAAGAUAAACUUAUUAGUAUAGUUUAAAGUAGUUAGACGUUUAUUCCUUCCUUUUCGGGGUUACUAGGGUGUUUUACGGGGCCCACCAAACCCCUUACAACUCAGUUUCUAUACAUAUCAUACAUAUCAUACAUAACCACUAUACAGUACAAAACAAAAUACAAAAGAUACUAUCACAUUAUGUAGCGUAGCGGAAGUCCCCUUUCUCUCUACCUCUUCCUUCUCUCAUUCUGUACCUUGCAAGGGAACAAAAAACCAUCAUCCCACCCAUUCCUAUAAAAAUCAUUACAUACAUAUCAAUUCCUCUCCUACCGACCUGGCCAUUGAGCAGCCUUACAAUCAGUUACCUUUCCUCCCUUCCACGACCCUUCUAAACCCCUUUUUCCCCCAAUCCCUUUCCGAUUCCUCCUCUUCUUCUUUCUCCUCCAUAUCUUCUCCGUCCCCUCUCGCUGCCUCCUCCGAACACCCUCUCUACUGCUUCCAAGCCGUUUCCUCUCCGCUCCAUCCUGAUUCCUCUUGAUUGUCCUCUCCUGAGCUUCAAAUCCUUCAGCUUCCUCCCUCUCUUUCUUUUACCUUGCUCCAUUUAUUCAUCCACCAGUCCACCAUUUUCUUCUUUCCCUCGUCCUUGUACUCGCUCUCUUGUCUCCCCUUCUCCUCAAUUUCCACUCGCUCUUCCUUCCCUCUUCUUUUCAUCUCGCUUGCCCGUCUUUCCUGUGUUAUUCCUCGCUUGUCCCCACCCUCUUGCAUGUAUCCUUGCUGGCUCUCUCUCUCUCUCUUUUCCCCUAUUCCUUGUGCCUCUCUUCUUUCUUUUUCCUCUUCUUCUGUUCUUUCCCGCUCCUCUUCUCUCCCUCUGCUAGUGCCUCUUUCUCUUCCUGCCUCUUACUACCUUCUUCCCAUUCUCUCAUCUCUCCCUUCGCUUUUUCCUCCUUUCCCCUUUCUCUCCGUAUUUCCUCUGCCCGUUUCUUCUCUUUAAUUUCUUCCUCUUCUUUCCCUCUCGUCAGUUUCUCCGUGCUCUCCUGUCUCCUGUCUUCUGUCUCCUGUCUCCUCCAUCAUUCUAUUUCUCUCCGCUUUCAACCCCUCUACUACUUUGCACUCUCUUGAUGGAUCACGCUCUUGGAACGCAAGCGUUCCCAAACCCGCUACCACCGUUCUCAUUUCGUACUAUCGAUCCCUAUCGACCAAUCUCCAGCCUCCUUCCUUCCGUUCCACCAAUCUUCUCCAGGUAUCGUUCUCUCUACCAAUCACGACCUCUCGACUAAUAUAUCGAUGGAUCGAAUUGUCAAACCUGCUGCCCUCUCUUGCUCAUCGCCACGCCAUCUACUGACUUUCUGCAUACUCUCUCCUCCUCCAGCGCCACUCCCCAUUUCACUCCGUUCUUCAACUUCCUUUUCCGUUCGCCCAUGCGCGCUGUCCCCAGCUCCAAAUCCGCUAUCUCAUCCAAGUCAUCUGCUCCGAUAUUCAAACACCUCUCCCGUCUCUCCUCUUUUUCCCCUGAACUUCCCUCCAAUGUCCAAGCAACUAUCCCACCUCCUCAUCCUCCUUUACAUACUCUCACCUCCACUUUCACUUCUUUUUCACUUUUUUAAGAGCACUCCUCCUGACCAUCUAUCAUCCUCUGCCAUUUUUUCUCCCUUCUCUUAGUUUAAAGUAGUUUAAAAUUAUUAGUAUAAAAAUUUAAAUCAAUUUGAAUGUAAUUAUAAAAUUUAUUGUUUCAACAUAAGACAACUAAAAUAAAUAAUCAGCAUACAUAUUACAAAAUUAUAAAUAUUAAAUAAUUUAGAAAAUAAUAUUAGCAAUCGAAAUCCGUCAUAGCUAAUAUAUGCCUUUCUAAACUGAUAUAAGCCUUUAAUAAAUUUAAUAUCAAUUUCUUUGUUUAUAAUAGAAAAAAAUUCAGAAAGAAACACACGGACAAAAUAAAAAACAGAAAAAUGAAAUAAAAUGUCUAAAAAAAAAUUGAACAAUUAGAGGGUUAUUUAAAAAGAAUUUAAGGACUUGCUAACUGUAAAAAAGUUGAACAUUUAAAAACAUUUUUGAAAAACUAAUAGUACAAUUAGGAGAAAAAAUAGAGAAAAAAUUGGAAAAGGUAAUAAAAAACGUAACUGAAUUUAUUUGAGGAGAAUGUUAAUCGUUUGGAUCAGAAAAUAACAAAUAUCGAAAAUGUGAUGAGUAAGUCUUCUGUAACUCAAUGAAAAAGUAUUAGAUUGGAUAAGCAGUUUUCCUGAUUAUACUGUAUCAGAAAUGCAACCUUUUCAUUUAAACAAUGAUGCAGUCUCCGAAUCUGAGAAAAAGGUUCCUCUUGGUGAUGGAAUUAUGUGCUUUAAGUAUGCUUACCAAAACCUUAAUACAGUCAAGGAGUAUUCUGAUUGAGCCAUAACAAUUCUUAUGGCCCGGAGUUUAUGGUGACAAGGCCCGAAAAAUGCGAUACGAAAAACCCCGAAGUCCAGAUCUAGAAUCUUUUUUAAAUUCCUUUGUAAAUGUUGCUAAAUAUUAUUACAGAAAGUGGCUUGAAAAUUUCAUAAUAGAAAAUACUCAAAAUCGCAAAUAUAGUUCUGCUCAAAUGGAAGAUUUAGUCAAUAGUCUCCACGCAUAUCUUUUGAAAAGGUGUAUAGAUAUGAAUGGAUCCCGUAUAAAAAAAAUAGUGAAGGGUCCUUAAAUGAAGGAUCGCAAAGACAGUCUGACCUUAAUAGAAAAAAAGACUAUAUCAAAAAAGAGGCUCUUUGCUUCAAGCAUUAGAAACUCAGCAAUUGCAAUUUAAAAUCAAGUGCAACUAAUAAUCAAGUGCAAUCUAAUCAUCAAGUGUCAGGGUUGGUUACCCAACCCUGCAAGUGCAAUCUAAUCAUCAAGAGCCACCAAAAGUCCAAUAACAAAAUCAAUAACAUUUAGAACAAUUAAACACGCAAAUAUCGCAGCCUGGCUGUAGCUGGAAUUGACCAAUUCCUUAUAAUAUAUAUGGAUCACAGAGUACAACAACAGAAAAUUGGAAAUCGGACGUAAUACUGACCUACAUAUUAUGUAGAAGAAAACAAUUAAAAAUAAAACUUAAUAAUUUAUAUUUAAAUCUAUAUCAAUAAAUAGUAAAUACCUCUGUUAUAGUAA
rnacentral:lncRNA from 1 species